AUUGAACGCUGGCGGCAGGCUUAACACAUGCAAGUCGAGCGGAGAUGAGGUGCUUGCACCUUAUCUUAGCGGCGGACGGGUGAGUAAUGCUUAGGAAUCUGCCAUUUAGUGGGGGACAACAUUCCGAAAGGAAUGCUAAUACCGCAUACGUCCUACGGGAGAAAGCAGGGGAUCUUCGGACCUUGCGCUAAAUGAUGAGGCUAAGUCGGAUUAGCUAGUUGGUGGGGUAAAGGCCUACCAAGGCGACGCUCUGGAGCGGGUCUGAGAGGACGACCAGCCACACUGGGACUGAGACACGGCCCAGACUCCUACGGGAGGCAGCAGUGGGGAAUUUUGGACAAUGGACGCAAGUCUGAUCCAGCCAUGCCGCGUGCGGGAAGAAGGCCUUCGGGUUGUAAAGCACUUUCAGCGAGGAGGAAAGGUUGAUGCCUAAUACGUAUCAACUGUGACGUUACUCGCAGAAGAAGCACCGGCUAACUACGUGCCAGCCGCCGCGGUAAUAC
rnacentral:rRNA from 1 species